CCUUACUUUGAUGCUUCAAUUGCACAUUGCGGAAGACGGAUUCGAUUUAAAAUUAGCUGUGUCCUUUGCUAACGUUGUUUCAGCGACAUUCGCUUUCCAGAGCAUCAUCCGAAGUAUUUUUCUUUCGUCAAAAUCAACAAUAUGGACACCCCUGAUCCACCAGUCGAAACAUCAAAACAGCAAAAAGUGUGUACAAAAACUAAGGCAGACCAACCUACAUCAGCCAAACGCAUCACUGGAACCGUGAAGUGGUACAACGUCAAGGAUGGGUUCGGAUUCAUUACACGCCACGAUAAUGGGCAAGAUGUAUUCGUCCAUAGAAGCUGCAUCAUGACUCCGAACAGACGACACCAUACCAAAUCGCUUGGAGAUGGGGAAGUUGUCGAGUUUUCACUGAUAGCUUCUAAAGUGACUGGACCUGAUUUCGCUCCAGUUAAGGGUAGUCCUUUUGUGGCACUGCGUUCGAGACCAAAUUCGAGAAAGCAAAAUUCAAGACCUGAAAGCCGCAAAAGUCACCAAUCUGAGGUUGUCGGAGAUGGAUUUGUCGAGACAGAAUUCGGAAAAAUGGCAAUCGAUGAGACAAAACAAAAGACCCCUGUUUCUAAUCAGCCUCGUGAACCAUUGACGACGGUGGUAGACAUAGUGCUUGAAGCGAUCUCACCGUUAGAACUGUGUGAUUUGUUGCGCCCAGCAGAAAAACAAGAGACAAUAUAAAAUUCAAUCUACUUCACUGAAUGGAACAGAGUUCUUGAUUUUAUCGUUUUGUUUACUAUUUUCGUCUUCUAACUUUUGAACCGUUCGCUGUGCUUCGCUUAGUUUUAUCGCUUGUAACUCUGCGGACACUUUUGGAGCUGCAAGUUUCUCUAUAGAAUGAGAAAAAAAUUAUCAAUAAACUGCAAAACAACAGAUCAAAAGGUGAGAUAUUUACUUAGUUCCGCUUCCAGUUUUGUUUUUUGCUCCUUCGAUUCGUCCAGUUGUUUUUGUAAUUGCUUUUUCUCAUUAUCCAAUGCGGAUAUGCUCAUGGCACCCGAUCGGCCGACAACAGCACGUAACUCGGCAAUUUCAUUCUCGCAU